ensembl:snRNA RNU6-781P RNA, U6 small nuclear 781, pseudogene
GUGAGACCAAGAACCCACCAAUUCCAGACACAGAAUGACACAGAUUAGCAUGGCCCCUCCACAAGGAGGACACGCACCUUCAUGAAGCAUUCCAUUUUUUC